GACUCUUGACAAGGAAUAUCUCGGCUCUCGCAUCGAUAAAGAAGGUAGCGAAAUGCGAUGCUUGGUGUGAAUUACAGAAUCCCGUGAACCAUUGAGUCUUUGAACGCAAGUUGCGCCCGAAGCCAUUUGGCCGAGGGCACGUUUGCCUGCACGUCA
rnacentral:rRNA from 1 species